AUGAACGCUGGCGGCGUGCUUAACACAUGCAAGUCGAACGAUUAAGACGGCUUCGGCCGUGUAUAGAGUGGCGAACGGGUGAGUAACACGUGACCAACCUGCCCCGCGCUCCGGGACAACCGCUGGAAACGGCGGCUAAUACCGGAUGCUCCGGGGAGGCCCCAUGGCCUCCCCGGGAAAGCCUUGACGGCGCGGGAUGGGGUCGCGGCCCAUUAGGUAGACGGCGGGGUAACGGCCCACCGUGCCCGCGAUGGGUAGCCGGACUGAGAGGUCGACCGGCCACAUUGGGACUGAGAUACGGCCCAGACUCCUACGGGAGGCAGCAGUGGGGAAUUUUGCGCAAUGGGGGGAACCCUGACGCAGCAACGCCGCGUGCGGGACGAAGGCCUUCGGGUUGUAAACCGCUUUCAGCAGGGAAGACAUAGACGGUACCUGCAGAAGAAGCUCCGGCUAACUACGUGCCAGCAGCCGCGGUAAUACGUAGGGGGCGAGCGUUAUCCGGAUUCAUUGGGCGUAAAGCGCGCGUAGGCGGCCGCCUAAGCGGAACCUCUAAUCCCGGGGCUCAACCUCGGGCCGGGUUCCGGACUGGGCGGCUCGAGUGCGGUAGAGGCAGGCGGAAUUCCCGGUGUAGCGGUGGAAUGCGCAGAUAUCGGGAAGAACACCGAUGGCGAAGGCAGCCUGCUGGGCCGCCACUGACGCUGAGGCGCGAAAGCUGGGGGAGCGAACAGGAUUAGAUACCCUGGUAGUCCCAGCCGUAAACGAUGGACGCUAGGUGUGGGGGGACCAUCCCCCCGUGCCGCAGCCAACGCAUUAAGCGUCCCGCCUGGGGAGUACGGCCGCAAGGCUAAAACUCAAAGGAAUUGACGGGGGCCCGCACAAGCAGCGGAGCAUGUGGCUUAAUUCGAAGCAACGCGAAGAACCUUACCAAGUCUUGACAUCCCUUGACGAUGCUGGAAACAGUAUUUCUCUUCGGAGCAAGGAGACAGGUGGUGCAUGGUUGUCGUCAGCUCGUGUCGUGAGAUGUUGGGUUAAGUCCCGCAACGAGCGCAACCCCCGUCCCGUGUUGCCAGCAUUGAGUUGGGGACUCGCGGGAGACUGCCGGCGUCAAGCCGGAGGAAGGUGGGGACGACGUCAAGUCAUCAUGCCCCUUAUGCCCUGGGCUGCACACGUGCUACAAUGGCCGGUACAGAGGGUUGCCACCCCGCGAGGGGGAGCGGAUCCCGGAAAGCCGGUCCCAGUUCGGAUCGCAGGCUGCAACCCGCCUGCGUGAAGUCGGAGUUGCUAGUAAUCGCGGAUCAGCAUGCCGCGGUGAAUACGUUCCCGGGCCUUGUACACACCGCCCGUCACACCACCCGAGUCGUCUGCACCCGAAGCCGCCGGCCGAACCCUUCUGGGGCGGAGGCGUCGAAGGUGUGGAGGGUAAGGGGGGUG
rnacentral:rRNA from 1 species